UUUGUGUUUUUUGGGGUUUUUUUCCCCUCUUGGCAGAGCAUUCCUAUGACAACUGCGCCUUCGCCGUGGUGAGUCCCUGGGUUUUCGGUGGGUUUUGGGGUCACCCCGUUGCCCCCCUGACCCCACCUCACCCCGUUUCUCCCCCUCCCUCAACCAGAACGUGCCCCCGGGAGCUCGUGGUGUCCCCGGUCCGUCCCCGGUGUCCCCCCACAGAGACCCCCGGGCGGCCCCCCCCUCCUUCAGCACCUUCAGGUCGUAACGGGGGGCCCCCGUUACCGGGAAGAACCAGGAGCCACCGGCAGCACCGGGACGGAGGGGGGAGAGUCACGGUCGGCGAGACACCGGGGGGCUGCCCAGUGAGACCCCCGGCACCCGAAAGGUGCACACUGGCAGACCUUCCUCUUCCUCCUCCUCCUCCUCAUCCUCAUCCUCCCCGCUUUCCGUGAUGCUCCGGAGCCGGCUCUGGUGUCAAUAAAGGUGUUUUCCGCCCGGUGCCGGUGCGGGAUGUGGGUGCCCUGUGUCCCCCCCGGUACCGGGACCCGGUAUCAGUGUCUGUGCCCGGUGGUAGAGCCCGGUGCCGGUACCUGGUGGCAGUUCCUUGUCCCGGUACCAGUCCCCAGUGCUGGUGCCAGUCCCCGGUACCGGUCCCCGGUGGCGGUGGCAGUGCCCUGUCCCGGUCCCUGAUCCCGGUGCCGGUUCCCGGUGGCAUUGUCCUGUCCUGGUGCCGGUCCCUGGUCCCUGUCCCGGUGCCGUGGCAGUGCUCGAUCCCGGUGCUGGUCCCCAAUCCCAGUACCAGUCCCUGUCCCGGUGCCGGUCCCUGUUGUCUUUGUCCCGGUCCCGGUGGCAGUUCCUUGUCCCGGUGCCGGUCUCCGGUGCUGGUGGUGGUUCCCGGUGCUGGUGCCAGUCCCCGGUCCCUGUCCCGGUGCUGUGGCAGUGCCCUGUCCCGGUCCUCGAUCCCGGUGCCGGUCCCUGGUGCCAGUCCCCGAUCCCGGUGCCGGUCCCUGGUGGUGGUGGCAGUGCCCUGUCCCGGUCCCGGUGCUCGUCCCUGUCCCGGUGUUGGUCCCCGGUACCAGUCCCUGGUGACGGUGGCCUGUCCCGGUGGCAGUCCCUGGUCCCUGUCCCGGUGCCGUGGCAGUGCUCGAUCCCGGUGCUGGUCCCCAAUCCCAGUACCGGUCCCUGUCCUGGUGGCGGUUCCCUGUCCUGGUGCCGGUCCCCGGUGGCAGUUCCCAGUGCCAGUGGUAGAGCCCGGUACCGGUACCUGGUGUCGGUUCCUUGUCCUGGUGCCGGUCCCCGGUGCUGGUGGUGGUUCCCAGUGCUGGUGUCAGUCCCCGGUACCGGUCCCCGGUGGCGGUGGCAGUGCCCUGUCCCAGUACCCAUCCCUGUCUCGGUGCUGGUCCCCGGUGGCGGUGCCCUGUCCUGGUCCCCAAUC
rnacentral:lncRNA from 1 species